AAUCAACGCUGGCGGCGUGCCUAACACAUGCAAGUCGAACGAGAAAGGGGACUUCGGUCCCUGAGUACAGUGGCGCACGGGUGAGUAACACGUGACUUAUCUACCCUCGAGUGGGGAAUAACUUCGGGAAACCGAGGCUAAUACCGCAUAAUACCCACGGGUCAAAGGAGCAAUUCGCUUGAGGAGGAGGUCGCGGCCGAUUAGUUAGUUGGUCGGGGUAAUGGCCCCACCCAAGACGGUGAUCGGUAUCCGGCCUGAGAGGGCGCACGGACACACUGGAACUGAAACACGGUCCAGACUCCUACGGGAGGCAGCAGUGGGGAAUUUUGCGCAAUGGGGGAAACCCUGACGCAGCAACGCCGCGUGGAGGAUGAAGUCUCUUGGGACGUAAACUCCUUUCGAUCGGGACGAUUAUGACGGUACCGAAGAAGAAGCCCCGGCUAACUUCGUG
rnacentral:rRNA from 1 species